GUCGAACGCUGGCGGCGUGCUUAACACAUGCAAGUCGAACGGUAAGGCCCUUCGGGGUACACGAGUGGUGAACGGGUGAGUAACACGUGGGUGAUCUGCCCUGCACUUCGGGAUAAGCCUGGGAAACUGGGUCUAAUACCGGAUAGGACUCCUGGCUUCAUGGUUGGGGGUGGAAAGCUUUUGCGGUGUGGGAUGGGCCCGCGGCCUAUCAGCUUGUUGGUGGGGUAAUGGCCUACCUAGGCGACGACGGGUAGCCGGCCUGAGAGGGUGACCGGUCACACUGGGACUGAGAUACGGCCCAGAGUCCUACGGGAGGCAGCAGUGGGGAAUAUUGCACAAUGGGGGCAAGCCUGAUGCAGCGACGCCGCGUGAGGGAUGACGGCCUUCGGGUUGUAAACCUCUUUCAGCUAUGACGAAGCGCAAGUGACGGUAGUAGCAGAAGAAGGACCGGCCAACUACGUGCCAGCAGCCGCAGUAACAC
rnacentral:rRNA from 1 species